rnacentral:rRNA from 1 species
AUUGAACGCUGGCGGCAUGCUUUACACAUGCAAGUCGAACGGUAACAGGUUAAGCUGACGAGUGGCGAACGGGUGAGUAAUGCAUCGGAACGUGCCCGAUCGUGGGGGAUAACGCAGCGAAAGCUGCGCUAAUACCGCAUACGAUCUGAGGAUGAAAGCGGGGGACCGUAAGGCCUCGCGCGAUCGGAGCGGCCGAUGUCAGAUUAGGGAGUUGGUGGGGUAAGGGCUCACCAAGCCAACGAUCUGUAGCCGGUCUGAGAGGGCGACCAGCCAAACGGGGACUGAGACACGGCCCAGACUCCGACGGGAGGCGGCAGUGGGGAAUUUUGGACAAUGGGCGAAAGCCUGAUCCAGCAAUGCCGCGUGCAGGAAGAAGGCCUUCGGGUUGUAAACUGCUUUUGUACGGAGCGAAAAGGCUCUCUCUAAUACAGGGGGCUCAUGACGGUACCGUAAGAAUAAGCACCGGCUAACUACGUGCCAGCCGCCGCCGUAA